CAGUAGAUCAAUUCCAAUAACCUGCAAGGAAAGCUUAUUCCAGCAUCACUUGAAUGGAAAACAGAGAAAGCUUUUUUUCUUUUUACAUUUAUAUAAUGCAUACACAGCAUAUCCACUAUAAUAUGAAAGAACCCACGGAAACCAGAAAAAGAGUAAGCUAUAUAUUAUGUGGCCAGCCACAAUUAAUCCCAUAGGCUAUUUAUGUAUCUAAUUGUGUCAAAGAAAUUGCUCUCACACAAAAUCUUCAUAAACAGGUAAGAUAUCUUCAGCAACAAACCAUAAAAAGAAAAAAUGUGUGGUGGAUUGCAGGGAUCAGUUAUUCUAAGAUGAAACUCCAGCCAGAAUUAAUAUAAGCCAAAAACACAGCCUAUGAGAACAAAAUGUCGAUAGUUUUUUUUUUUUUUUUUCCUUUUUGUCUUUUUUAAGUAAAUGCUAUUUUUGAGUUUUACUUGCUAUCAUAUAUUUAGCUUAGGCUGCUUUUGGGUGUUGGGAUGGGAAAUGAAGCAAAGUAGCUGCUUCGACUGGGUUUUCUUGUAAAUACCAUUUUGCUUAUGCUCAAUACUUCUAUGGUCAUUGAAUUUGUUAUGACGUGUUUUGUAUUCGAGGUAUGUUUUUAUUGUGGUGUGUGACCUGAAUGUGACAUUUUGUUAAUAUUGUAAAUAUUCUUGUGUAUUUAAACUUUAAGUUGAACAAUGUAAAUCUUGUAUUUGUUUUUUUUCUACUCCUCUUCAUACUGUGCUGUGUGUAUUUUGAAUUUGUGUCUGUUAUAACAUCCCGAAUAUUUUGUAUUUAUGAUGAUUUGGAUGUAUUUAAUGUAUAAAAUUUUAUUUAGAGUUUUUUCAGAAUUUAAUAUAUUGAGUUUUGAAUUUUUAAUUUAUUAUUUUUUUUCAAAAAUCUAUUCUAAAUUAUUUAAUGACUGUGGCAUAUUUUAUAGUAUUUUUUUUUUGUUUUCCCGAUAUUUUUCUGAAUUUAAAUGAGUGAGGCAGUGAAGGCGUGAAUUGAACCAGCCAACCCAGCCAUGAGACCCGUAAAUAGCAAGCCCCUUCCUCCCCCUCUUCCUUCGGCUGAAGUCCCCUCCCCUUUUCUUUCUUCAUUUUUCAGUUGGCCAAGCCUCCCCUGCACCGCCCCGCUUUCCUCCGACAUCAUAAGAGCACCACCAGCACUUACGGUAUUUCGGCUGGAAAAAUGCAACUUAGGCGAAGGAAUCGACCUGUAGGUUGAAUUGCUUCUCUCAGUGAUAUCUCGCCAUUCUGGUCACCUCAACCUGCGUUGCUAGGCAGCCUAGGCUCUGCGACUUUGUCUCGUCAUGGUUUGGAUUCAAGAAAAACCCCCCGCGCUGUCAAUUUCCGAUUUACGUGAUUUAAGCUUUGAAAGAUUUCGGCCUAGUUCAUUUGCGGUGAAAUUCUGACCAAAGUAGUUGUCAUAUGGGAAUCCAACACCGCCAUUGUUGUUUCCGCGUCAAGAAAAAAUUUUUGCUGGAAAAUGUCCC
rnacentral:misc_RNA from 1 species